rnacentral:tRNA from 1 species
UUAAUUGAAACCAAAUUAGAGGUAAAUUAUUGUUAAUAAUUUUAUUGAUUAAAUAUAAUCCUUUUAAA